GCACGACCUCUUAACUAACAUCGCCUCAGCAAUUUGGACAUUGUGUUUCGUAGUAAACUUUCAUCUACAACGCCACCAUGAGGAAGCUUGUAGUUGCUCUGUGCCUGAUGAUGGUAUUGGCUGUGAUGGUGGAAGAGGCCAAGGCUAGGAGAUGGUGCUUUAGAGUGUGUUACAGGGGAUUUUGCUAUCGCAAAUGUCGAGGGAAGAGAAAUGAAGUACGUGAGUUCCGUGACCGUGGGUAUGAUGUAAGAGCCAUUCCAGAAGAAGCGUUGUUUUCACGACAAGACGAUAUAGAAGACGACGAUGACGAGUAAGAAAUUUGGAAUUCAGAGAAAUUGUCCACCUGAUCGAUGUUGAUGAAACCUUGGAACGAACGACUUUUAUGGUUUUUAAACCUUUUCAGAGGUUUAACAUAUUUGUAUAUUUGUGUUCAAUGAAACACGUUCUUUAAUCACUAUUUCUUCUUUGUGCACAAAGACAAUCUUAAAGACUUUCUGUACUAUCUUGGUUGUUGUAAUAGUUGGGUAUUAUAAUAAAUAUAUCAAGCAUUGAAGAAUA